rnacentral:rRNA from 1 species
UACGAAGGGGGGCUAGCGUUGCUCGGAAUUACUGGGCGUAAAGCGUGCGUAGACGGUUGCGUAAGUCAGAUGUGAAAGCCCCGGGCUUAACCUGGGAACUGCAUUGGUGACUGGCGGGCUAGAGUAUGGCAGAGGGGGGUAGAAUUCCACGUGUAGCAGUGAAAUGCGUAGAGAUGUGGAGGAAUACCGAUGGCGAAGGCAGCCCCCUGGGCCAAUACUGACGCUCAUGCACGAAAGCGUGGGGAGCAAACAGG